CAUUUGGGGGUGGGGGUGUGGGGUGUCUAUUAAAAGAGAAGUGGUGCUGUUGGUGUCCACAAUGCCUGUUUGUUGGAACCCAAUAGGGACACUCAACCAGGAUGCCAGAGCCAACUAAAAAAAUAGUCUCAGCUUUCAGCAAGAAACCAAAGUCCCAGACUGCUGAGAUUGGGGCAAGAGUCAUAUUUGAAGCUGAAACUGAGAAGCCAGGUGUAAAAGUGAAAUGGCAGCGAGAAUCCAAGGACAUCUUACCCAGUCACAAAUACACCAUCUCAGCAGAGGACAAUAAGCAUUCUCUCACUAUAAAUAAUAUCAUCCAGGAGGAUGCAGUGGGAUAUGCUGUUAUUGCUGGGAUGUCAAAGGUCAAAUUUGAAUUAAAGAUAAAAGAAUCAGAAGUAAAGGGAGUGGAAAAAGCCAAAUCCCCGGAUCCUGCAGCAGUGGAACAUAAACCUGAAGAAUCUAAACCUGAAGAAUCCAAACCUGAGCCCAAAGAGCCUCCACCAGCCCCAACUGAAAACUCAGCACCAGAAAGCACUGGACCGCCAUCGGAUGGAGUCGCACCUGAAGCUCUGCCUGAGAGUCAUCAGCCUGACACAAGGCAGGACCUUACAGGACUCUUCACUGAGAAACCUCACAGCGGGGAGGUGAAUGUUGGUGAAAACAUUAUUUUCAUUGCUCGGGUGUGUGGUGAGUCUCUGCUGAAGAAGCCCACGGUGAAAUGGUUCAAAGGAAAGUGGAUGGAUCUGGCCAGCAAGUCAGGAAAGCACCUGCAGCUCAAAGAGCACUAUGACCGCAACACUAAGGUGUACACAUUUGAGAUGCAUAUCAUUGCAGCUAAAGCCAACUUUGCCGGAGCCUAUCGCUGUGAGGUGUCAUCUAGAGACAAGUUUGACAGCUGUAAUUUUGACCUCAUAGUACAUGAGGCUCGUACAACAGAAGGGUUUGAUAUUCGCACUGCAUUUAGACGCACGAGCACCAGUGCAGGUGGUAAGAAGAAGAUGGGAGAACCUGGCAGUAGCACAGAUGCAGGUGAUGACUCUGGAGAACUGGACUUCAGUGCUUUACUGAAAAAGAGAGACAGUUUCGUAAAAACGGGCCAGCGAGCUGUUCAUGUGAGCACAGAGCCAGACGUAGAUGUAUGGGAUAUCCUUCAGAAAGCUCCUCCAUCAGAGUAUGAAAAGAUCGCCUUCCAGUAUGGCAUCACAGACCUGCGGGGGAUGCUUAAGAGACUCAAAAAAAUGAAAAAGGAAGAAAAGAAAAGUGCAGCAUUUCUUAAGAAGCUGGACCCAGCAUACCAAGUCGAAAAGGGACACAAGAUCAAACUGGAAAUUGAAGUGGCCAAUCCAGAUGCAGAGGUUAAAUGGCUGAAGAAUGGACAAGAGAUACACCCAACUGGAAGCAAGUACAUCUUCGAGAGUGUUGGCAACAAACGCUUCCUCACCAUCAACAACUGUUCCCUGUCAGAUGAUGCAGCUUAUAUGUGUGUGGUUGGAGAUGAGAAGACCGUCACUGAGCUCUUUGUUAAAGAGCCUCCUGUACUGAUCGUACGCAACCUUGAGGAUCAGAUGGCUAUGAAAGGAGAUCGAGUGGAGUUUGAGUGUGAAGUGUCUGAAGAGGGAGCUCAGGUGAAAUGGGAAAAGGAUGGUGUGGAACUCACCCGAGACGAGUCCUUCAAGUAUCGCUUUAAGAAAGAUGGAUGCAAGCAUGUCCUUAUCAUUAACGAUGUGACCAAGGAGGACUGUGGACAUUACCGGGUCAAAACCAAUGGAGGACAGUCAUUAGCAGAGCUCAUGGUUCAGGAGAAACAGCUAGAGGUCUAUCAAAGCAUUGCUGACCUGACAGUGAAGGCCAAAGAUCAGGCUGUGUUCAAAUGUGAGGUUUCUGAUGAGAAUGUGAAAGGCAUCUGGUACAAAAAUGGAGUGGAGGUGAAACCAGAUGCCAGAACUCUUAUCACACACAUCGGCAGGAUUCACAAGCUCACCAUUGAUGAUGUGAAACCAGAAGAUGAGGGUGACUACACCUUUGUUCCUGAAGGCUUUGCGUUCAAUCUCUCCGCCAAGCUCAACUUUUUAGAGGUGAAGAUUGACUUUGUUCCUCGCCAAGAUCCUCCCAAGAUUCAUCUGGACUGCAUGGGCCGCACUGCUGAGUCCACAAUCUUGGUUGUGGCUGGAAACAAACUGCGACUAGAUGUACCAAUUACAGGAGAUCCUGCCCCCACUGUGAUUUGGACAAAAGGAGAAAAGGAUAGCUCUAAGGAGGGAGAGUCGCAUCCUGACCCGAAAAACACAUGGACAAUGAAGAAUGGUGAAGUGCUGACAGACUCAGAUGGGCGUGUCCAUGUGGAGAGUACCAAAGGCCAUUGCAUUUUUACCAUUGAGGGGGCGGAGCGUCAGGAUGAAGGCGUGUACUCUGUCAUUGUACGCAAUCCAGCUGGAGAGGAUACAGCUGACAUUAAUGUCAAAGUUGUUGAUGUGCCAGACCCACCUGAAGCCCCCCGAAUCUUGAGUGUUGGUGAAGAUUCUUGCGUUGUCCAAUGGGAUGCGCCUCGCUUUGAUGGUGGUCAGCCAGUCAUAGGUUAUGUCCUGGAAAGAAAGAAGAAAAAGAGUUAUAGAUGGAUGAGACUCAAUUUUGAUCCUUAUAAGGAGACCACAUUUGAGGCCAAGAAAAUGAUUGAGGGUGUGCCCUACGAGAUGCGUGUUUAUGCAGUGAAUGCCAUUGGCAUGUCCCGCCCCAGUGCCGCCUCCCAACCAUUUGUGCCUGUUGCUCCUACCAGCGAGCCUAUUGGCCUGUGUGUGGAUGACAUCAGCGAUACCACCAUCUCUCUGAAAUGGAGGACACCAGAGAGGAUUGGCUCCGCUGAGCUUGAAGGUUAUGGUGUUGAGUACUGCAAGGAAGGCUCUGAUGAAUGGAUCCCCGCAUUUUCGGGUCUCACAGAAAGGACCUCUGUGAUCAUCCGUGACCUGCCAACUGGAGAGAAGAUGCAGUUCCGCGUGAGGGCAUAUAAUAUGGCAGGCCCGAGCGCUCCAGCCACACUGCAACAAGCAGUCACUAUCCGUGAAAUCAUGCAGCGGCCCAAAAUCUGGCUCCCCCGUAACCUGCGUCAGACACUCAUCAAGAAAGUCGGAGAAACCAUUAACCUGGUAAUCCCUUUCCAGGGUAAACCCCGACCUCAGGUAUCCUGGACGAAAAACGAUGAGCCUCUGGAUCCUAAAUCAGUCAGUAUACGGAACAGUGACACUGAUACCAUCCUCUUCAUCAGGAGAUCUGAGAGAAAGGAUUCUGGGAAAUAUGAUGUUCAAGUGCAAAUUGAAAAUGUGGAGGACAAAGCCAGUGUGAAUAUACAGAUUGUUGAUGUGCCAGGUCCACCCCAAAAUUUAAAGGUGAUGGAUGUUUGGGGCUUCAAUGUUGCCCUGGAGUGGAAACCACCUAAGGAUAAUGGGAACUGUGACAUCACAGGCUACAACAUCCAGAAGGCUGACAAGAAAACCAUGGAAUGGUACACCGUGUUUGAACAGUAUCGUCGCACUAACUGUGUGGUGUCAGACCUGAUCAUGGGGAACGAGUAUGUGUUUCGUGUUUACGCCGCAAAUAUGGUGGGUCUGAGUCCAGAGCCUUGCCUCUCUAAAGACAGUGCCUACAUCCAAAAAAACAGGUAUUGUGUACAAGCCUCCUUCCUACAAAGACCAUGAUUUCUCUGAGGCUCCCAAGUUCACGCAUCCUCUCAAAAGUCGCUCAGUUAUAGCUGGAUACAACGCUACGCUCAGCUGCUCUGUAAGAGGCAUUCCUAAGCCUAAAAUCACAUGGUACAAAAACAAGAUGGACAUUACAAACGAAGCCAAGUACAGGAUGUUCAGCAAUCAGGGAGUGUUGACUCUGGAGAUCCGUAAGCCGUGCCCAUUUGAUGGAGGAGUGUACAUGUGCAAGGCAGUCAAUGACAGUGGGGAAGACCUAGUAGAAUGCAAACUGGAAGUUCGCCUCCCUCAAGUCACAAAAGAAGACAUCAAGAAAUGAGAGAGACGUAAUGACUUUGGAGAAACUGUCACACUGUCCUCUUUCUGUCUUCUGUCCUGAAACUGAUCCCCGUGAUCAAAUGACAAAGCAAAGAAAUAUUUCAGUGUUUCUUCUUCAUUUGUUUGUGCUUCCCGUUACUCACUCACAUCCCCAUGGUGUGAUUUCCCCCCCUCCCUUCGUUAUUGCUUGUGUUCAUUUCAUUUGAUUGUAUUUAUCAUCUCUGCAGUAGAAUCUAGUAUGGUCACUUCAACACUGUGAUAUUAUAUAACAUGCUAGAUAAAUAAAGCUGAUGUGUAUUGUUCCUGUCUGAAUUUUAUUUAAACCCCAAUGUAUGUACAUUGAUGUUUUAAACUUGUGUUUCAAAGAUUCACAAUUAAAAAUCUCAACGUUU